CAAGUCGAGCGGACAGAAGGGAGCUUGCUCCCGGAUGUUAGCGGCGGACGGGUGAGUAACACGUGGGUAACCUGCCUGUAAGACUGGGAUAACUCCGGGAAACCGGAGCUAAUACCGGAUAGUUCCUUGAACCGCAUGGUUCAAGGAUGAAAGACGGUUUCGGCUGUCACUUACAGAUGGACCCGCGGCGCAUUAGCUAGUUGGUGAGGUAACGGCUCACCAAGGCGACGAUGCGUAGCCGACCUGAGAGGGUGAUCGGCCACACUGGGACUGAGACACGGCCCAGACUCCUACGGGAGGCAGCAGUAGGGAAUCUUCCGCAAUGGACGAAAGUCUGACGGAGCAACGCCGCGUGAGUGAUGAAGGUUUUCGGAUCGUAAAGCUCUGUUGUUAGGGAAGAACAAGUGCAAGAGUAACUGCUUGCACCUUGACGGUACCUAACCAGAAAGCCACGGCUAACUACGUGCCAGCAGCCGCG
rnacentral:rRNA from 1 species